GUUAUGAAUAUGAUUCUGUCAUGGCGGCUUUGUCUGUCCCAAAGUGGAUGAAGGGGAAGUAAAUCUCCAUACGUUCCUUUGGGUUGUAAACUCUUAUCUUGAUGCACUGCAAGUGAUUGCUAUGUACAUUGGACACCUAUGCAAGCCGAUGCAUCAUUAUGAAUUUUAUUUGUACCUCAUUUUUUUGUUGACAAGUUCAGUUAACUAAUGAAUUUUUAAUGAAUUUUUAACUUUCUAUGAAUUUUAAUGAAUUUUAUGGGUUUUAUUUAAUUAUGGGUUUUAAUGAAUUGUAUGGAUUUUUAUGAAUUUUAAUGAAUUGUGUAUACAUUUUAUGGAUUUUAAUGAAUUUUAUAGAUUUUAAUGAAUUACUUUGAUUUUAACCAGAAAUGAUUGUUGAUCAUUAUGAGUAUCACACUAAUUAAAUUCAGUUGUAUGAAUUAUUUUUCAAAUUAUAGUGUAUGCAGUAGGGCUGUCAAAAUGGCUGAAGAAGUACAUUCGAAAUUCGUCCUUGAAAAAUAAUAAAAUUCGAAUUAUAUUCGAAUUAUAAAGAGCUACUUUAUCUUGGAAAAAAUACUCCUAAAAGCCCACAAGAGGGCGGAGCACAAAGCCCCAAUAAUAUAAACAAAUCAUGCACAGCAUAUUUUUGGUUAAAACGAAUGUUAUAAACACUAAUAAAUUAAAGAUAAUUUCUUAAAUUCAAAUGCAAAGGAACAAAAGUGCACAUAGAUAUCUGGAAGUACAAAAUGCCUCAACAGCCAGCGUGUGUAGGCUUUUAACACAAACAUAGUCAAGAAACUAUCCAUGUAUACAUUUACAAAUUAUUUUAUGUACCGUACAUUAAUUACAUUAAAAAAAAAUUACAGAGCCUCAGUUAAUACAGAACACAACAGUGAUGAAAUCAAAAUUAACCAGUAUAUUUGUGCACCUGUAAAUGUACAAAACGAAUGCCAUACAUAGACAAUGCAUAUUAAUAUAGGGCAUUUUAUAUAAUAUAUAAGUAGAUAAAUGUACGUGUUUCUAAUAAAGUAUGAAAACGAAUGAAUCUUUAUUUAAGCCAAAAUAAGUGGGAAAGAUCAUUAGUCAUUUAAAUUUUGUCAAGCUUAAACGCGAUUCACAACAACUUAUAUUAUAUUUUGUGUGUUCCUUGGUUGAAAAUAUGUAGAAAUAUAAGCGAGUAAUAAAGUACAGAA